UUCCUGGUGGCUUAGCCGGUAAAGCGUCUGCUUACAAUGCAGGAUACCCGGGUUCGAUCCCUGGGUUGGGAA
rnacentral:tRNA from 1 species